UACGUAGGGCGCAAGCGUUGUCCGGAAUUAUUGGGCGUAAAGAGCUCGUAGGUGGCUUGUCGCGUCUGCCGUGAAAGCCCGUGGCUUAACUACGGGUCUGCGGUGGAUACGGGCAGGCUAGAGGCUGGUAGGGGCAAGCGGAAUUCCUGGUGUAGCGGUGAAAUGCGCAGAUAUCAGGAGGAACACCGGUGGCGAAGGCGGCUUGCUGGGCCAGUUCUGACGCUGAGGAGCGAAAGCAUGGGGAGCGAACAGG
rnacentral:rRNA from 1 species